CUUCAACCAAUUUUCAUUACAAAAGAGUCAUUCAAUGGUGUCACACCAAUAUGUUAUCAACUUUGACGAACAAAUAAAAUUAUGGGAAAAUUGUAGCAGCGGUCCCUAAUCUUUUACUUUUUUUUAGAUUUUAUUCUAACCUUCAUUAUGUACCAUCCAUAGUCCUAAACCUUUUGAAAAUAUGUACCCGGAGUCCAAAUGGAUGGAAAUCAUCCAUCUUACUGUUGGUUGACCAAAAAUGUCAAAGUUUGAUCAAUUUUGACCAAAUUAAAAAGGCAAAAUGGUAACUAUACAAUUUUCUCACAUUAAAGAAUUAAAAUAUUAAAUAAAAAAAAAUAGAAUAAAAUAUCAUCAUCUACUACAGUGAUCCUCUUCCAUAUUCUAUUCAAACUCACGCCUGACCUAAAACCACCACCCCCACCACCAAACCUACAGCCACCAUAUUCUUCACUACCAAAAAGAACCCAAAUGAAAAAUCACAUCGGAACCCGAAAUUUCAUCUCCCCAUUCACAGCAAUCGUUGCUGCUUUCUCUCAAAUCGAACCAAAAUUCACUACUCCAUUCUCGUCUAGUUGCUGCUUUCCAUCAUGCCAUUGGUCGAAAAUCACCACAUUUGAAAAUUACAAUAUCAGGAAGUGCGAUAGAAAUCUCAUGGCAAUACCUCUUGUCACUACGACGGCCUCAAAAUUCAAUGUGCCUACCAAAGCUUCCGCUUCCUCAAUAACGUCAAUCCCACUCUCAAGAUCCCCCUGGCUCCCUCCUUAUCCUUAACCAACACGAAUGUUUCUUCUAUUUAAAGUAAUCUAAGUUUUUCAUUUGUAUUGUUACUGUGGUAAAUAGGUUGAAAGGGUAGCUGUGGUGGUAGCUAGAGUUGGCGAUGCCCGUGUAAUUGGUGCCGUGGUAAAUCGAAUUUGAUUUUUGUUGUUAAUAUUGCCAAUGGAACCACCAUCGGACGGUAGCGGUGGUAGUAGCUGGAAGGUUUUCUGGUGGGGUGGGGUUGAAAGAAAGUGUGUAUAUAUAUAUAUAUAUAUUUUUUAAUUUUUUGAUUUAAUAUUUUAAUUCUUUAAUGUGAGAAAAUUGUAUAGUUAUCAUUUUGCCCUUUUAGUUUGGCCAAAAUUGAUCAAACUUUGACAUUUUUGGUCAACUAACUGUAAGAUGGAUGGUUUUUAUCCAUUUGGACCCCGGGUGUAUAUUUUCAAAAGAUUUGGGAUCG
rnacentral:lncRNA from 1 species